GCAAGUCGAACGGUAACAUUGGUGCUUGCACCAGAUGACGAGUGGCGCACGGGUGCGUAACGCGUACGCAAUCUACCUUUUACUGAAGAAUAGCCCAGAGAAAUUUGGAAUAAUCCUUCAUAAUAUCAUUUAUCAGCAUUGAUUUAUGAUUAAAGCUCCGGCGGUAAAAGAUGAGCAUGCGUCCUAUUAGUUUGUUGGUGAGGUAACGGCUCACCAAGACUACGAUAGGUAGGGGCCCUGAGAGGGGGAUCCCCCACACUGGUACUGAGACACGGACCAGACUCCUACGGGAGGCAGCAGUGAGGAAUAUUGGACAAUGGAGGCAACUCUGAUCCAGCCAUGCCGCGUGCAGGAUGACUGCCCUAUGGGUUGUAAACUGCUUUUAUAUAGGAAGAAACACUCCCACGUGUGGGGGCUUGACGGUACUAUAUGAAUAAGGAUCGGCUAACUCCGUGCCAGCAGCCGCGGUAAUACGGAGGAUCCAAGCGUUAUCCGGAAUCAUUGGGUUUAAAGGGUCCGCAGGCGGCCUGUUAAGUCAGAGGCGAAAGCCAACAGCUCAACUGUUGAAUUGCCUUUGAUACUGAUAGGCUUGAGUUAUUGUGAAGUGGUUAGAAUGUGUGGUGUAGCGGUGAAAUGCUUAGAUAUCACACAGAAUACCCAUUGCGAAGGCAGAUCACUACCAAUAUACUGACCCCCCAUGGACGAAAGCGUGGGG
rnacentral:rRNA from 1 species